rnacentral:rRNA from 1 species
UGCAAGUCGAGCGGAAACGAAGAGGUGCUUGCACCUCUGGCGUCGAGCGGCGGACGGGUGAGUAAUGCUUGGGAAUAUGCCUUAUGGUGGGGGACAACAGUUGGAAACGACUGCUAAUACCGCAUGAUGUCUACGGACCAAAGUGGGGGACCUUCGGGCCUCACGCCAUAAGAUUAGCCCAAGUGGGAUUAGCUAGUUGGUGAGGUAAUGGCUCACCAAGGCGACGAUCCCUAGCUGGUUUGAGAGGAUGAUCAGCCACACUGGGACUGAGACACGGCCCAGACUCCUACGGGAGGCAGCAGUGGGGAAUAUUGCACAAUGGGCGCAAGCCUGAUGCAGCCAUGCCGCGUGUGUGAAGAAGGCCUUCGGGUUGUAAAGCACUUUCAGUAAGGAGGAAAGGUUAAGUGUUAAUAGCACUUAGCUGUGACGUUACUUACAGAAGAAGCACCGGCUAACUCCGUGCCAGCAGCCGCGGUAAUACGGAGGGUGCGAGCGUUAAUCGGAAUUACUGGGCGUAAAGCGUACGCAGGCGGUUUGUUAAGCGAGAUGUGAAAGCCCCGGGCUCAACCUGGGAACUGCAUUUCGAACUGGCAAACUAGAGUGUGAUAGAG